AUUCUGCACUGGUAGCUCGUGCAGAAAGGCCUACAUCAAAAGAAGGCCGCUGCAGCAAUCCCUGGUGUUUUUUUAGACCAUAAACCCAGGGAAAGUGGUUUGUUGGCCUUUAUGUAACGCAUGCGAUGGAGGUCGAACCAAACCUACGGGUCAAACUAACAAGAGAACAAAAUAUUGGGUGGAAACGCUCUGGACAUUUGUGCCCGGCUGGUUUCCAGCACAGAAUGUAUGUUCGUUCUCAGGAGAAGAAUGCAGUCAGUACCUUCCCGUGCGAAUGCUCUGUGUUCGCUCACCUCAAAGAUUACCGCUCGACUGCUGUUAAUUCGGCUGCCUGUGAGUCUACAGCAGGCCUUGGCUGUGAUUGGCCGAAGCCUCGGGCGUGACAGGCCGAGGGCUCGACCGGGAUUGGCUGAUGGCUUGCAGGCGCGUGGUCCUGGCUGCGUCCACUGACCCCUUGUCUUAAGCCUGCUUUGGGUUGCGUUUACACGAGCUGUGGUUUGGGGAGAGGGGGAUUUGCGG